CAGGUAGUGGAGGCAGACUCAGUGGCCCAGGUAGUGGAGGCAGACUCAGUGGUCCAGGUAAUAGUAACGGCAGUGGAGUCUGGACCCAUGUGAAUUCUGAAAGUGUCUCUCAGUUUAACAGAAACACGAGCAAUGAAAGGACUGGUAGACUUAGCAGUGCAGGAAGUGGAGAAUGGAAGGUUUAUAGUAGAAGUAAUGGACAGAUCAGUAAGGCAGGAAGUGGGGGAAGAAUCAGCAGUGCUGGAAGUGGACACAUGAUCAGCAGUGCUGGAAGUGGACAUAUGAUCAGCAGUGCUGGAAGUGGAGGUAGACUGAGAAGCAGAAGCACAGGAAGUGGAGGUGGACUAAGUAGUGCAGGUAGUGGACAUAUGAUCAGUAGUGCAGGAAGUGGAGGUAGACUGAGUAGCAGUAGCACAGGAAGUGGAGGUAGUGGACAUAUGAUCAGUAGUGCAGGUACUAGUGGACAGAGAAUUAGUAGUACAGAGGGUGGUGUCAGGAUCAGCAGUGGGGGUAGUCGAGUGAUUACCAGCAGUGGUGGUCCAGCCAGCAGCCCCAGCAGAGUGACCAUCAGGAACACAGGAAGCGGAGGCGGUGGAGGCAGAGAGCGGAUCAGCGUCUGUAAAAUGGCUGCCCUCUCCAUAUCAGCUGCCGUGAAAGAAAGAGAAAAGGCCCAGGAGGUCAGUCGGGAAUCCUACACAAAACGGGUGUCAGCCACCAGUCCUCGGGUCCAGCGGUGGGUGAGAACAUCGGUAGAAGAAACUGGACAAGAGUAAAACUGAUGACGACAGUGUGCCAUUCUGAGUGGACAGAGGAGCAAGGCAUAAUGACAAAAUAGUCACACUACUUAUAGUUAAUACAUAUCUAUUACAUUGCAUUCCAUCAAAGGAGCGUUAAUACCUUUAAAUGACCAGUAUCACAAUGCACCUUCAUGUUAGAAAACGUGUUUUCACAGGAUCUCUGUCUGCAAUAAUUCCUGUUUACUGUGCCUUUCAUCAUUGCUGUGAAUAAGUAAUGCACUGAGUUUUCUGUUUGAACAGAAAUCUAUAAAGUUCUGAAAUAUACUCUGACAUAGUUAUAGGGACGCAGGGGUGAUGCAAUUUGUUCUACGCCAAACAAUUUGAUCUUAUUGGAUUCGGUUUCCUUGUAAAGCGCUUACACUUACAUUUAUCCAGAAGAUGUCAGUAUAUGCAUUUAGGUGAUCAGUUGUGGAGACGAGUCAGCUAGUCAUCUCAUUUGACACAUUUACGCAAGUUAGUAUAACUUGUAGAUUUUAUUUUAGUAGUUUGAAGUCAAUGUAUCAAAGCUUAAAUAAAGCUUCUGAUGACUUAUUACUUUAUAUUGUUUUUAAUGAUGAAUAAAAUAUUUUACUGUUAUUACUUCACACUUAUGAAUACAAUUGUUCUGAAAUAUUAUUCUCAUCUUAUUUCGUUUUAUUGUGAUACAUUUCAAAUGUGUAUUUGAAAGUGUUCUUAUAAUAAAGUUAUAAUAAAGUUUUACUUAAUUCAAA
rnacentral:lncRNA from 1 species